AACGAACGCUGGCGGCAGUCUUAACACAUGCGAGUCGAGCGCCCCGCAAGGGGAGCGGCAGACGGGUGAGUAACGCGUGGGAAUCUACCAAUCUCUACGGAAUAACGCAUGGAAACGUGUGCUAAUACCGUAUACGUCCUUCGGGAGAAAGAUUUAUCGGAGAUGGAUGAGACCGCGUUGGAUUAGCUAGUUGGUGGGGUAAAGGCCUACCAAGGCGACGAUGCAUAGCUGGUCUGAGAGGAUGAUCAGCCACACUGGGACUGAGACACGGCCCAGACUCCUACGGGAGGCAGCAGUGGGGAAUAUUGGACAAUGGGCGCAAGCCUGAUCCAGCCAUGCCGCGUGAGUGAUGAAGGCCCUAGGGUUGUAAAGCUCUUUCACCGGUGAGGAUAAUGACGGUAACCGGAGAAGAAGCCCCGGCUAACUUCGUGCCAGCCGCCGCAGUAAGAC
rnacentral:rRNA from 1 species